AUCAUUCUAUUCCGAUUCACUUCUGGAUAUAGGCCUCCGUGGGUGCCUUUCAACUAAUGUGACUAUCUUUUUGCACGAGCAAAGUCUUGAAUGAUAGUUAAGGAUUUAUUUCUUUAUUGAUUAUCUUAUUUCCAAUAUCCUAUGUUCCAUACAAUAUAAUUUAUUAUCAAAUUACUCAUUAUAUAUUGGUUUUUAAUAUUGAUUUUUGAUGUAUAAAUCAAUUGAAAGUUGCAAGUAAAUCAUACUAAGCGGCACCUACAUGUUUUUUACUUAAAUGCUAAUGAAGUCACUUUGUCACAGCGUAGAGGUCAUAAAUAAUAGUUACGCAACCACGAACUAAUGUAAUUAGCGCACGUAAUUAUAAUGGUUAUUGAGGGCGCUCGCUAGGGGUCAGGGCACGGUGCGCACGCGCAUAUGCGCGGGUUAGCGGUUCCGGUGCGUUACUUAAGUAUAAAGGAACAACCGUAUUUUUUUGGAUGAUGAUAGAAUGGUGCUUCCGCCUAUGCUAAUAGUAUACAACAGCGGAGCACCAAUGAAGGAAGAAACGGUGAGGAUGAAGUCAGGUCAGUUAGUCCAUCCAAGUAGUGGGUAAUAACUAACAUAGUAAUAAUAAUAAUAAUGGAACUAUGCCAAAUUUAAUCAAACAGUAUCAAGAUAUCUGAGUGGUAUAUCGAUUUAGUUCAACAGAUAAAUUUUGUAAAUCAAUGAAGAGAUUGAUAACAAUAUCACGCGAUAUGUAAGUACUGGAAUUUAACCAGUUGUAUUAAAUUUUUCGAUUUAUAUUGUAGAGUCAGCGAUGGUAGGCGAAGAAGAAAGGUCUUGAUCUAGAGAUUGUGUAUUGGAUGACAAAAUAUAGGACUACGAACCUUCUAGGAUCGAUAAAGGAAAUUGGCGAAAGUAGAUGGAUGUGAAAAGUGAAAAAUGGCUUACGGUGGAAGGCAUUAGGUAAAGUGAUCACGAGCAAUCCACGUUUAUUUGGCUUCAUUGGUCACGCUCGGACAGCGCAGCGGCCGGCGAUCGGGGCGGGACUGCUAUUAUUGGUAUUAAAUCAUAAAUCCAGACAGUACUUGUCAUCAAUAUGAACGAGUUCAGUACCAGGUCAGCUCGACCCGAUAUUAAUUGGUGAAAUACAUACAAUAAUUCUGUACAAACUGAAAUCAUUAUUAUCAUUCUAAAAGAAGGUUCUACCGAUGAUAUAAAACGUUUUCCCGAAUAAAUAGAAGUCGAAAAUAAUGAUUUCACUUCUAUAGCUAUUCACACUACUACACUAAUAGAUAACGUAAAAGAUGUAAAAAUAUAGAAUAAUACAAAGCAAUUGAAAUACAUAAAAGCCGAGACAUUGCCACUUAACUGCUUGACUAGUAUGGUAAUAUUAGGCUAAUAUAUUCCUGCUAUAUGGAGAGACCCGUAGUCAACGAUAACGAAUAAUUAACACCCGUUGAUGACAUGUUUGAUGAUUAUAAGUUACAUAAAAUUUUACAAUCGCUUUCAACUGCAGAACUAUAUAUACUGUGACAAAUAAAAGUACACAUGCUCCUCACUAUGUAAACAAAUAACAUAUCUAAAAUAUUUUGAGACAAACCUUCUUGGAUUAUUAUAAGCUACAUGAGAUAGCUUGGAUAUUUUAAAAUAGUUCUAUAUCAUAUUAUUUAGUAACUUGCACGUUUUGAGACCAAACCCAAUUAGAGUAACGAAACAGCUUCAAGUACAUUGUCAAUAUGCCCUUUAACUGUCCCCAAAUCUGCGUCCAAAUAUUGACCGAAUUGGUCCAGCAAGUUUGCCGUCUUGCCCCAAUUCGUGCAAAUUGUCACUGUGCAAAUUUACCAAGCUCAAAGGCAACUAGGUUACGAACAAAAUAGGUCACUGUGUUGGCAGACUUAUGGAAAUUACAUGCGCGCUUAUUGCUUUCCGUUGUAAUUAAUAUUUUAUGGUGUAUUCAGCUUUAUGCUAUCAUAUUAGCAUAAAAUCGCGGUAGCUACAUCAUCCAUCAUGACUAUUUGUCACUCUGAAUGUUCUGCCUCGAUUUCAAACUGCUUUCUGUACUAAUAUCCUUGCUAGUGUUAUAAAUAUUAAACUGAGUUUGUUUGUUA